GCAGUCGAGCGGAAGGCCCUUUCGGGGGUACUCGAGCGGCGAACGGGUGAGUAACACGUGAGUAAUCUGCCCUUGGCUUUGGGAUAACCACCGGAAACGGUGGCUAAUACCGGAUAUGACCACUCCCGGCAUCGGGUGGUGGUGGAAAGUUUUUUCGGCCAGGGAUGUGCUCGCGGCCUAUCAGCUUGUUGGUGGGGUAAUGGCCUACCAAGGCUUCGACGGGUAGCCGGCCUGAGAGGGUGACCGGCCACACUGGGACUGAGACACGGCCCAGACUCCUACGGGAGGCAGCAGUGGGGAAUAUUGGACAAUGGGCGGAAGCCUGAUCCAGCAACGCCGCGUGAGGGAUGACGGCCUUCGGGUUGUAAACCUCUUUCAGUACCGACGAAGCGCCGAUGAUGGUGGUGACGGUAGGUACAGAAGAAGCACCGGCCAACUACGUGCCAGCAGCCGCGGUAAUACGUAGGGUGCGAGCGUUGUCCGGAAUUAUUGGGCGUAAAGGGCUCGUAGGCGGUUUGUCGCGUCGGGAGUGAAAACACCGGGCUUAACUCGGUGCUUGCUUUCGAUACGGGCAGACUAGAGGCAUGCAGGGGAGAACGGAAUUCCUGGUGUAGCGGUGAAAUGCGCAGAUAUCAGGAGGAACACCGGUGGCGAAGGCGGUUCUCUGGGCAUGUCCUGACGCUGAGGAGCGAAAGUGUGGGGAGCGAACAGGAUUAGAUACCCUGGUAGUCCACACCGUAAACGUUGG
rnacentral:rRNA from 2 species